GAUGAACGCUGGCGGCGUGCCUAAUACAUGGAAGUCGAGCGAACAGACGAGGAGCUUGCUCCUCUGACGUUAGCGGCGGACGGGUGAGUAACACGUGGAUAACCUACCUAUAAGACUGGGAUAACUUCGGGAAACCGGAGCUAAUACCGGAUAAUAUAUUGAACCGCAUGGUUCAAUAGUGAAAGACGGUUUUGCUGUCACUUAUAGAUGGAUCCGCGCCGCAUUAGCUAGUUGGUAAGGUAACGGCUUACCAAGGCAACGAUGCGUAGCCGACCUGAGAGGGUGAUCGGCCACACUGGAACUGAGACACGGUCCAGACUCCUACGGGGGGCAGCAGUAGGGAAUCUUCCGCAAUGGGCGAAAGCCUGACGGAGCAACGCCGCGUGAGUGAUGAAGGUCUUCGGAUCGUAAAACUCUGUUAUUAGGGAAGAACAAAUGUGUAAGUAACUAUGCACGUCUUGACGGUACCUAAUCAGAAAGCCACGGCUAACUACGUG
rnacentral:rRNA from 1 species